CCUACGGGAGGCAGCAGUGGGGAAUCUUGCACAAUGGGCGCAAGCCUGAUGCAGCCAUACCGCGUGUAUGAAGAAGGCCUUCGGGUUGUAAAGCACUUUCUUUGGGGAGGAAGGUGAUGGGGCCAAUAACCGAAGCCAUUGAUGUUUACCGGAGAAGAAGCACCGG
rnacentral:rRNA from 1 species